UGGACUGCCAAUCCGACAACUACUCGACACAUUGACAGAUUGGACUGCCAAUCCGACAACUACUGAACAUAGACAACAUAGUGGUUGAAAUCUGCCAAUACAAUGGCUUAUUUACAGACCUACUGAACACAUUGGCAGAUGGGGCUGCCAAUCCGACAACUACUGAACAUACACAACAUAGUGGCUGAAGCACGUUACCACCUAAAGUCGCCAAGGAGGACUACCCUAUUUUCUUCAAGCUUUGAGGAUGCAUGCUGGUCAGCGAGUGCCUCAGUUCCUGGACAACGCCCUCACUAUGGAUUAGUUG